rnacentral:rRNA from 2 species
GGCGUCGACGGGUAGCCGGCCUGAGAGGGUGACCGGCCACACUGGGACUGAGACACGGCCCAGACUCCUACGGGAGGCAGCAGUGGGGAAUAUUGCACAAUGGGCGGAAGCCUGAUGCAGCAACGCCGCGUGAGGGAUGACGGCCUUCGGGUUGUAAACCUCUUUUAGCAGGGAAGAAGCGAAAGUGACGGUACCUGCAGAAAAAGCGCCGGCUAACUACGUGCCAGCAGCCGCGGUAAUACGUAGGGCGCAAGCGUUAUCCGGAAUUAUUGGGCGUAAAGAGCUCGUAGGCGGUUUGUCGCGUCUGCUGUGAAAUCCCGAGGCUCAACCUCGGGCCUGCAGUGGGUACGGGCAGACUAGAGUGCGGUAGGGGAGAUUGGAAUUCCUGGUGUAGCGGUGG